AGUUCGCUCCACGUAGGCUGUUGGGAAAUGUGGAGUUAACAUCUGUUCCAUACAUGGACCAUACUUUAAUACAUUCCUUAUGUGUUAUAGUUUUUCCUCGAAGUAGACUCCAGCAGAAGCUGAAAUCUGCCGCUGGCCGAACUCAUUGCGGAACUUUGAAUUUGUGUAGAGUUGGUGAUUGUAAUGUAUCGGGACUAGUUCAGUAACGAGUUGUGUGUUUAGUGAUUGAUUACUCCGGAAGACGUUGACCAUAAGGCUUUUUCAUCAACAAACAUUUGAACGUGAUUGGUCUACCUAAUGAUAGC